GACGAACGCUGGCGGCGUGCUUAACACAUGCAAGUCGAACGGAAAGGCCCUGCUUUUGUGGGGUGCUCGAGUGGCGAACGGGUGAGUAACACGUGAGUAACCUGCCCUUGACUUUGGGAUAACUUCAGGAAACUGGGGCUAAUACCGGAUAGGAGCUCCUGCUGCAUGGUGGGGGUUGGAAGGUUUCGGCGGUUGGGGAUGGACUCGCGGCUUAUCAGCUUGUUGGUGGGGUAGUGGCUUACCAAGGCUUUGACGGGUAGCCGGCCUGAGAGGGUGACCGGCCACAUUGGGACUGAGAUACGGCCCAGACUCCUACGGGAGGCAGCAGUGGGGAAUAUUGCACAAUGGGCGGAAGCCUGAUGCAGCAACGCCGCGUGCGGGAUGACGGCCUUCGGGUUGCAAACCGCUUUCGCCUGUGACGAAGCGUGAGUGACGGUAAUGGGUAAAGAAGCGCCGGCUAACUACGUG
rnacentral:rRNA from 1 species